rnacentral:rRNA from 1 species
UACGUAGGGUCCGAGCGUUGUCCGGAAUUAUUGGGCGUAAAGAGCUCGUAGGCGGUUUGUCGCGUCUGCUGUGAAAUCCCGAGGCUCAACCUCGGGUCUGCAGUGGGUACGGGCAGACUGGAGUCCGGUAGGGGAGCAUGGAACUCCUGGUGUAGCGGUGAAAUGCGCAGAUAUCAGGAAGAACACCAGUGGCGAAGGCGGUGCUCUGGGCCGGAACUGACGCUGAGGAGCGAAAGCGUGGGGAGCAAACAGG